UUCCCAGUAGCUCAGAUGGUAAAGAAUCUGCCUGCAACACAGAAGACCCAGGUUUGAUCCCUGGAUUGGAAA
rnacentral:tRNA from 1 species